GCGCACGGCGGCGGCGGCGGCGGCGGUUCCUGCCGGGGGCUGCGAGCGGCGGGCGGCUCCGAGGGGAGCAGCGGCGCUGAGGGGCUCGGCGGCAGCGGCGGCGGCUCGGCACGCGUGGCUCUUGGUCCGGCUCGCGCCGCGGCGGGCGUUUCAACCCGGUUCAGGAGCGUGGGCGCGGCGGCGGCGGCGGCCCGAGGCCUGCGGCCUAGGCCUCAGCGCGGCGGCGGGCUCGAGUGCGGCGCGGAGCCGGCCUGAGGGCCCUACUCGGCGGCACCAUGAGCGUGGAGGCGUACGGGCCCAGUUCUCAGACGCUCACCUUCCUGGACACCGAGGAAGCCGAGCUGCUCGGCGCCGACACACAGGGCUCGGAGUUCGAGUUCACCGACUUUACCCUCCCCAGCCAGACGCAGACGCCCCCGGGUGGCCCCGGCGGCCCCGGAGGAGGUGGCGCGGGCGGCCCGGUCGGCGCGGGCGCGGGUUCUGCGGCCGGACAGCUGGACGCGCAGGUUGGUGGACCAGAGGGCAUUCUGCAGAAUGGGGCCGUGGAUGACAGCGUGGCCAAGACCAGCCAGUUGUUGGCUGAGUUGAACUUUGAAGAAGAUGAAGAAGAUACUUACUACACGAAGGAUCUCCCUGUGCAUGCCUGCAGUUACUGCGGAAUACACGAUCCUGCUUGCGUGGUUUACUGUAACACCAGCAAGAAGUGGUUCUGUAACGGGCGUGGAAAUACUUCUGGCAGCCACAUUGUAAAUCACCUCGUGAGGGCAAAAUGCAAAGAGGUGACUCUGCACAAGGAUGGGCCCCUGGGGGAGACAGUUCUGGAGUGCUACAACUGUGGCUGCCGAAAUGUCUUCCUCCUUGGCUUCAUCCCUGCCAAGGCCGACUCGGUGGUGGUGCUGCUGUGCAGGCAGCCCUGCGCCAGUCAAAGCAGCCUCAAGGACAUCAACUGGGACAGCUCCCAGUGGCAGCCCCUGAUCCAGGACCGUUGCUUCCUCUCCUGGCUGGUCAAGAUCCCUUCUGAGCAAGAGCAGCUGCGGGCCCGGCAGAUCACCGCCCAGCAGAUCAACAAGCUGGAGGAGCUCUGGAAGGAAAACCCUUCUGCCACCUUGGAGGACCUGGAGAAGCCAGGCGUGGACGAGGAGCCGCAGCACGUCCUCCUGCGGUACGAGGAUGCCUACCAGUACCAGAACAUAUUCGGCCCUCUGGUCAAGCUGGAGGCCGACUACGAUAAGAAACUGAAAGAGUCCCAGACUCAAGAUAACAUCACGGUCAGGUGGGACCUGGGCCUUAACAAGAAGAGAAUCGCCUACUUCACUUUGCCCAAGACUGACUCUGGUAAUGAGGAUUUAGUCAUAAUUUGGUUAAGAGACAUGCGGCUCAUGCAGGGGGAUGAGAUAUGCCUGAGGUACAAAGGGGAUCUGGCACCCCUGUGGAAAGGGAUCGGCCACGUCAUCAAGGUCCCUGAUAAUUAUGGCGAUGAGAUCGCCAUUGAGCUUCGGAGCAGUGUGGGUGCGCCCGUGGAGGUGACUCACAACUUCCAGGUGGAUUUCGUGUGGAAGUCAACCUCGUUUGAUAGGAUGCAGAGCGCGCUGAAAACAUUUGCUGUGGAUGAGACCUCUGUCUCGGGCUACAUCUACCACAAGCUGCUCGGGCACGAGGUGGAGGAUGUGAUCAUCAAGUGCCAGCUGCCGAAGCGCUUCACGGCACAGGGGCUCCCUGACCUCAACCAUUCGCAGGUUUACGCUGUCAAGACUGUGCUGCAGAGACCGCUGAGCCUGAUCCAGGGACCACCAGGCACGGGGAAGACGGUGACCUCUGCCACCAUCGUCUACCACCUUGCUCGGCAGGGCAAUGGGCCUGUGCUCGUCUGUGCUCCGAGUAACAUAGCUGUGGAUCAGCUGACUGAGAAGAUCCACCAGACUGGGCUGAAAGUCGUGCGGCUCUGCGCGAAGAGCCGUGAGGCCAUUGACUCCCCAGUGUCCUUCCUGGCCCUGCACAACCAGAUCAGGAAUAUGGAUAGCAUGCCGGAGCUGCAGAAGUUACAGCAGCUGAAGGACGAGACGGGGGAGCUGUCCUCUGCUGACGAGAAGCGGUACCGGGCCCUGAAGCGCACCGCCGAGAGGGAGCUGCUCAUGAAUGCAGAUGUCAUCUGCUGCACGUGUGUGGGUGCAGGGGACCCGAGGCUCGCCAAGAUGCAGUUCCGUUCCAUUUUAAUUGAUGAGAGCACCCAGGCCACCGAACCAGAGUGCAUGGUCCCUGUGGUCCUUGGCGCCAAGCAGCUCAUCCUCGUGGGUGACCACUGUCAGCUGGGCCCCGUGGUGAUGUGCAAGAAGGCAGCCAAGGCCGGACUAUCUCAGUCACUCUUCGAGCGCCUGGUGGUGCUGGGCAUCCGUCCCAUCCGCCUGCAGGUCCAGUAUCGGAUGCACCCUGCGCUCAGCGCCUUCCCAUCCAACAUCUUCUACGAGGGCUCUCUCCAGAAUGGCGUCACGGCAGCGGACCGAGUGAAGAAGGGGUUUGACUUCCAGUGGCCCCAACCUGAUAAGCCGAUGUUCUUCUACGUGACCCAGGGCCAAGAGGAGAUCGCUAGCUCAGGCACCUCCUACCUGAACAGGACGGAAGCUGCCAACGUGGAGAAGAUCACCACGAAGUUGUUGAAGGCGGGCGCCAAGCCUGACCAGAUCGGCAUCAUCACCCCGUACGAGGGCCAGCGCUCCUACCUGGUGCAGUACAUGCAGUUCAGCGGCUCCCUGCACACCAAGCUCUACCAGGAGGUGGAGAUUGCCAGCGUGGACGCAUUCCAGGGGCGAGAGAAGGACUUCAUCAUCCUUUCCUGUGUGCGAGCCAACGAGCACCAAGGCAUCGGAUUUUUAAACGACCCCAGGCGACUUAAUGUGGCCCUGACCAGAGCGAGGUAUGGGGUCAUUAUUGUGGGCAACCCAAAGGCCCUGUCCAAGCAGCCGCUCUGGAACCACCUGCUGAACUACUACAAGGAGCAGAAGGUGCUGGUGGAGGGGCCCCUGAACAACCUGCGGGAGAGCCUCAUGCAGUUCAGCAAGCCCAGGAAGCUGGUCAACACCAUCAACCCGGGAGCCCGCUUCAUGACAACAGCCAUGUAUGAUGCUCGGGAGGCCAUUAUCCCAGGAUCCGUCUAUGAUCGGAGCAGCCAGGGCCGGCCCUCAAACAUGUACUUCCAGACCCACGACCAGAUCGGCAUGAUCAGUGCAGGCCCCAGCCAUGUGGCCGCCAUGAACAUUCCCAUCCCCUUCAACCUUGUCAUGCCCCCCAUGCCCCCACCAGGGUAUUUUGGACAAGCGAACGGGCCAGCAGCAGGCCGGGGUACCCCAAAAGGCAAGACUGGUCGUGGGGGGCGCCAGAAGAACCGCUUUGGGCUCCCUGGACCCAGCCAGACGAAUCUCCCCAACAGCCAGGCCAGCCAGGACGUGGCGUCCCAGCCAUUCUCCCAGGGCGCCCUGACCCAGGGCUACAUCUCCAUGAGCCAGCCCUCCCAGAUGAGCCAGCCUGGCCUCUCCCAGCCCGAGCUGUCCCAGGACAGUUACCUUGGCGAUGAGUUUAAGUCACAGAUCGAUGUGGCGCUGUCGCAAGACUCCACGUACCAAGGGGAGCGGGCAUACCAGCACGGCGGAGUGACAGGGCUGUCCCAGUACUAGAAGGCAAGCUGACCCCUGCAGGAGGUCUUCAUCGUCGGGAUCUGGACUUGAUGGGAAAUCAGGGAAAUGUGUGGUGGCAGCGGAAGAGCUAAGCUAUGUGGCUUAGUCCAUCAGCAUCUUAUUCUGGGUAAUAAAAAAUAAAAAUAAAUGGAUACCUGUUUUCCACUGCUAAAACUGAAGCACCACUGUGAGCAACAGGAGAGGGAGAGGAGCACCCGAGGGAGAGAGGAGCCCGAGACCGAGCGAGCGCCCACUGCUGGCCCGCGGCGGCGAGGAGAAGGAGAAGGGAGAGCGGGAGGCGGGCGGCCGCGGAGGACCGUCCGCCAGCGAGCCCUGCCAGGCUGCCCCGCUCGCCAAGGAGGCCCAGCGCUCGCCGCGUGCACACCUGGGUCUGCGACCAGGGCGGAGGGAGGCACACCCUCAUCUCAGAGUAGCCCUUUCCUCUGUUCUUUUCUUUCUGUUUCUCUUUUCUUGAAAGGGGACUACGUUUUAGCAGGAAAAACUUCGCAUUUCUGUGCCGAGCAGGCUCCUUGCCGAGGCAGCCGUGCUGGGAGAGCCCCGCGGAGGUGUGGGUUCUGUCCACGCCAGCUCUGCAACGGCCCUGGUCACGCUGCCUGUGUUCUAAGAGGGUUUCAUUUGAAGAAAACACGGUGUUUGGGGUUUUUGUUUGUUUUUUAAAGAUUCUUUCAAAUGAGUACUGAAAAAUAUACUUUCCUGAGUUUGUCUCCCAAAUCUUAGUGGUGGACCUGGGAGAUGUGAGAAGCUUCCAGAAACGAAGUUUAAACAAGCCAACACAUCUCAAGAUUAGGAUCAACACCUGUGACGGGAUCGCGAGGAGAAAUUUUGUUUUCAGUUUUAGCUUCCAGCGGCUUCUCCCUGCACGUCAGGGCUGUGAGGGAGCACGGUCUCGUCCCGGGCCAGGCAGCCCCACGGUGUCUCCGCUGGACUCUGAGAAGCCAAGUGCUUCCCGCGCGCCGCGGACUCGUGCCCCACCCACCCCUGGACGGGCCUUGGGCAGGACUGGCUGUGAGGCCAGAGGGUGGGGGGGUGGCUUCUUCCCCGGGGUCCUUCCUGAGGAUUUGGUGGAAGACCGCCGCCAAGAGGACCCAUCCCCAGGGAGGCGCCCACAGUGCCCGUGGCUGGUUGGACAUGCCGAGCGCCCCACCUGCCUUGUUCUCUACCCCACCCUCCGGGUUGGGAGACCUCCUACCUGUGGGUAUGGCUGUGAUGGGGUGGGGUGAUUUCUGCUUUUUUGGGGUAAAGGAGUUUCAGAAAUAAGUUGGUUCUACGCCGAAGGGGCUUGGAGCAGUUCGUCACAUCAGCUAGUAGAGGGGGCUUCUGUCUGGAGGGGUCUGGGCCACAACUCCAGAAAUUACUGUAGCUGGGAGAGCCAUCCCCAGCUCCUUGCACACCACUGUGGGGGUGGUAGUCUCCCUGACAACCACCUACUUGGGGACCAUCCCCUGCCUACCCAGGCCCUGGUGACCCUGACCAUACCCCCCCCCCCCCAGCGUCCCCGUCCCUGUGAGGCUGACACUGGCCCUUAUCAAAGCCUCCAGAUUCCAGCUUGUACUUGGGAGACGGGGACACACAGGCCACCUUCCUUCUGGCUAGGCCUCUUAUUUAUUACCAUUGCUGUAGGGCUUUCGGUUUCCCCCUUCUUUUGGUAGGCCACAUAGAGGCGUAGAGUUUGGAUAGGUUUCCGCUCUGACCCCCUGUGCGACACCCCGUGGGCAACCUGUGCCCACCUGCCCGCCCUGUUCUGUUCCUUGGAAUGCUUUGCCUCUGCUUUGUGCUGUUUGCUUUGUUCUCCACCUUAAUAGCAGCAGUUCUUGUUUUCCAAAUUGAGGGGCAUCUGUACCAAGGCAAUGUAACUUUUGAUUUCUGGUCGAUUUGUUUUAAGCUCUAUUGUCACCAAUAAAAUCUUAAUAAACAG